rnacentral:tRNA from 1 species
GGGUUUGUGGCUCAGUGGUAGAGUGCUUGCCUAGCAUGUAUGAGGCCUUGGGUUUGAUUCUCAGCACCA